rnacentral:rRNA from 1 species
UACGUAGGGGGCAAGCGUUGUCCGGAAUUAUUGGCGUAAAGGGCGCGUAGGCGGGCUGCCAAGUCUGGGGUGAAAUCCCACGGCUCAACCGUGGAACUGCCUCAGAUACUGGCGGCCUCGAGGGAGGUAGGGGCAUGCGGAACUAUGCGUGGAGCGGUGAAAUGCGUUGAUAUGCAUAGGAACUCCGGUGGCGAAGGCGGCGUGCUGGACCUCUUCUGACGCUGAGACACGAAAGCGUGGGGAGCAAACAGG